rnacentral:pre_miRNA from 1 species
UAAGUACUCCCUCCGUUCGGAAUUACUUGUCACAAAAAUGGAUGUAUCUACAACUAAAAUACAUCUAGAUACAUUCAUUUCUUGGAUGAGUAAUUCCGAACGGAGGGAGUGUGAU